rnacentral:rRNA from 1 species
UGGGUGGCGAGUGGCGGACGGGUGAGGAAUACAUCGGAAUCUACUUUUUCGUGGGGGAUAACGUAGGGAAACUUACGCUAAUACCGCAUACGACCUACGGGUGAAAGCAGGGGACCUUCGGGCCUUGCGCGAUUGAAUGAGCCGAUGUCGGAUUAGCUAGUUGGCGGGGUAAAGGCCCACCAAGGCGACGAUCCGUAGCUGGUCUGAGAGGAUGAUCAGCCACACUGGAACUGAGACACGGUCCAGACUCCUACGGGAGGCAGCAGUGGGGAAUAUUGGACAAUGGGCGCAAGCCUGAUCCAGCCAUACCGCGUGGGUGAAGAAGGCCUUCGGGUUGUAAAGCCCUUUUGUUGGGAAAGAAAUCCAGCCGGCUAAUACCUGGUUGGGAUGACGGUACCCAAAGAAUAAGCACCGGCUAACUUCGUGCCAGCAGCCGCGGUAAUACGAAGG